GUGGGGAAUUUUGGACAAUGGGCGCAAGCCUGAUCCAGCAAUGCCGCGUGCAGGAAGAAGGCCUUCGGGUUGUAAACUGCUUUUGUACGGAACGAAAAGGCUCUGGUUAAUACCUGGGGCUCAUGACGGUACCGUAAGAAUAAGCACCGGCUAACUACGUGCCAGCAGCCGCGGUAAGACGUAGGGUGCAAGCGUUAAUCGGAAUUACUGGGCGUAAAGCGUGCGCAGGCGGUUUUGUAAGACAGGUGUGAAAUCCCCGGGCUCAACCUGGGAACUGCACUUGUGACUGCAAGGCUAGAGUGUGUCAGAGGGAGGUGGAAUUCCGCGUGUAGCAGUGAAAUGCGUAGAGAUGCGGAGGAACACCGAUGGCGAAGGCAGCCUCCUGGGAUAACACUGACGCUCAGGCACGAAAGCGUGGGGAGCAAACAGGAUUAGAAACCCCGGUAGUCC
rnacentral:rRNA from 1 species